rnacentral:rRNA from 1 species
CACGUAGGGGGCGAGCGUUGUCCGGAUUUAUUGGGCGUAAAGAGCUCGUAGGCGGCUCAGUAAGUCGGGUGUGAAAACUCCAGGCUCAACCUGGAGACGCCACCUGAUACUGCUGUGGCUAGAGUCCGGUAGGGGAGCAUGGAAUUCCUGGUGUAGCGGUGAAAUGCGCAGAUAUCAGGAGGAACACCUAUUGCGAAGGCAGCUCGCUGGGACGUAACUGACGCUGAGACGCGAAAGCGUGGGGAGCAAACGGG